CCUACGGGAGGCAGCAGUGAGGAAUAUUGGACAAUGGGCGGAAGCCUGAUCCAGCCAUGCCGCGUGCAGGAAGACGGCCCUAUGGGUUGUAAACUGCUUUUAUACAGGAAGAAUAACCACCUUGCGAGGUGGGACGCCGGUACUGUAUGAAUAAGCAUCGGCUAACUCCGUGCCAGCAGCCGCGGUAAU
rnacentral:rRNA from 1 species